rnacentral:lncRNA from 1 species
AGCCCUUUUAAGUCAUAAUUUGAGAUAUGUAUCUUUCACAUUGUGGCUCAUCUUAAAUUAUUACGAUUGAAAAAUACAUAUUUCAAUAACAUUAAAGCACUUUCAGAAUCUUUGUGUUUAAUUUUGAGUUUUGAUACAAAAUAAAGGAUAUUUUAAUAAGUAUUAGGACAUUAUGUAUCAAAGUUAGGCGAGUAGAAAGAUAGAUCAAAAUCAAUUUAUUCUUCCUAAAUAGAGAUAUUCUUCUCUUCUCCUUUCUACAAUGAUUGUGAAUGAAUCUAUUUUAUUUAGCUUUCAGAUUUUAACAAUGAUUGUGAAUGACAAAUCUGAAAUUUCUUUUCAAUAGGAUCAAACAAAAGAUGUUAUGUAGCAUUUCAACAUUCAAUCAA